rnacentral:rRNA from 1 species
GGGGGAUAACCGUUCCGAAAGGAGGGCUAAUACCGCAUACGAUCCUGGGGCAUCAGUCUCAGGAUGAAAGGCAGCCCGCAAGGGCUGACGCUACUUGAUGAGCCCAUGUCCCAUCAGCUUGUUGGUAGGGUAACGGCCUACCAAGGCAAUGACGGGUAGCUGGUCUGAGAGGACGACCAGCCACACUGGCACUGCGACACGGGCCAGACUCCUACGGGAGGCAGCAGUGAGGAAUCUUGCGCAAUGGGCGAAAGCCUGACGCAGCGACGCCGCGUGGGGGAUGAAGGCCUUCGGGUUGUAAACCCCUUUUAGGAGGGAAGAAUUCCGGUAGGUGAAUAUCCUGCCGGGUUGACGGUACCUCCAGAAAAAGCCACGGCUAACUCUGUG